rnacentral:rRNA from 1 species
UACGUAGGGUGCAAGCGUUAAUCGGAAUUACCGGGCGUAAAGCGUGCGCAGGCGGCUUUGCAAGACAGAUGUGAAAUCCCCGGGCUCAACCUGGGAACUGCAUUUGUGACUGCAAGGCUGGAGUACGGCAGAGGGGGAUGGAAUUCCGCGUGUAGCAGUGAAAUGCGUAGAUAUGCGGAGGAACACCGAUGGCGAAGGCAAUCCCCUGGGCCUGUACUGACGCUCAUGCACGAAAGCGUGGGGAGCAAACAGG